GGUUCGAUGGCGUAGUUGGUUAUCGCAUCUGUCUAACAUGCUAGUAAAUGUUUCACAGAAGGUCUCCGGUUCGAGCCCGGAUUGAAUCA